rnacentral:rRNA from 1 species
GAAGGUAGCGUAAUCAUUUGUCUUUUAAAUAGAGACCUGUAUGAAUGGCAUAACGAGGGUUUAACUGUCUCCCUCCCCUAGUCAAUGAAAUUGAUCUGCCCGUGCAGAAGCGGACAUAAACACAUAAGACGAGAAGACCCUAUGGAGCUUUAGACAAAAGAUCAAACAUGUAAAGAAACCAAACUAACCAAAAGGAACACAAAGGCCACAAAACCCGACGUAAAAUGAUCCAAAUGUCUUCGGUUGGGGCGACCAUGGGGGAAAGAAAAGCCCCCACGAGGAACUAGGGGCAAUCCAUUAAGUCAAGAGAUACACCUCUAAACAACAGAAAAUCUGACCAAAAAUGACCCAGGACACUAAUCCUGAUCAACGAACCAAGUUACCCUAGGGAUAACAGCGCAAUCCUUUCCCAGAGUCCAUAUCGACGAAAGGGUUUACGACCUCGAUGUUGGAUCAGGACAUCCUAAUGGUGCAGCCGCUAUUAAGGGUUCGUUUGUUC